GCUGUAAACACUACUUUAUUAAGCACGAGUGUGUAAUUCUCUGAAAUAUUUCUUUGUGGGAAAGAGAUUCUGCCCCGCACGGCCCAAUUCAAAGCUUCCGCUAGUGCUAAGCCCAAUGUUUCCGAAUUUCCCGCUGACCGAGACUCCAGGUCCACAGAUCGCCCCUCGCAGCCGAUCCCCGACCCCGGCCCUGGCGGAGGCGGGAGACGGCUGCGGACCUGCAGCCCCGGUAGACAGAGGACCAGAGUGCGGGCCUCUCAAAGGCGGGGACUUGGUGGAAGCGGUCCAGUUCUCGCGAGGUUUCGUCCUGACCCGAGCAGGCGACAGCUCCGCGGAGAGAGUGGGUUUCGCUCACAGGAGGGAGCCGAAGGGCCCGGAGUGGUCGUUGCUACCCGGGGUCCGAGCCGGGGGAGAAGCCGUCACCUGUAAAAAGCCAGUUCUCCCUAAAGUCACCCCUGGGGAAGUCCAAGGCAGCGCUGGCCUCUUCCUUCGGCUGUGGGGGCAGCGCAGGCAAACCUUGCCGGCUAAAGAGAACCGCCCUAAGCAAAGUGGUCAUCCAGCGGCUGCCCCCCAGCAUCACCAAGGAGCAGCUGGAACAGCAGCUGCACCUGCUGCCCGCACACCUUUACCACUGAGCUCGGAACCUUUCCUUUAGGAGAAAUUGCUGAGCUCUGCAGGAACUGUGAAUGGUGACUAUCUGGUAAUUCUAAGACUGAAAAGCAAGAGGAAAAGAGAUGGGAAAUGAGAAUUGAUGGGGAGAAGCAGGGGCAUCCAUGUUCAACCUCAGCCUGAGAGUCUGAGUUAAUCUGCAGUGAAGGUAAGGACUACCAGGAGCUGGCCCCCCCUGACUUUGUCACCUGGGAACAGCCAAACAGUCGUGGCCACUUUCAGAGAAAUAAAGAAGGUAGGAGAGCACCCCUGGGAGCUAGA
rnacentral:lncRNA from 1 species